CAGUAGCCGCGGUAAUACAGAGGGUGCUAGCGUUAAUCGGAUUUACUGGGCGUAAAGCGUGCGUAGGCGGCUUCUUAAGUCGGAUGUGAAAUCCCUGAGCUUAACUUAGGAAUUGCAUUCGAUACUGGGAAGCUAGAGUAUGGGAGAGGAUGGUAGAAUUCCAGGUGUAGCGGUGAAAUGCGUAGAGAUCUGGAGGAAUACCGAUGGCGAAGGCAGCCAUCUGGCCUAAUACUGACGCUGAGGUACGAAAGCAUGGGGAGCAAACAGGAUUAGAUACCCGCGUAGUCCCUGUCUCUUAUAC
rnacentral:rRNA from 1 species